rnacentral:rRNA from 1 species
GACGAACGCUGGCGGCGUGCCUAAUACAUGCAAGUCGAACGCAGUGGGGACGGGUGAGUAACACGUGGGUAACCUCCCAUCAGAGGGGAGAACACUUGGAAACAGGUGCUAAACCGAUACUUCUGGAUGUCCCCUCUGUGCAUUAGCUAGUUGGUGAGGUAACGGCUCCCCAAGGCCACGAUGCAUAGACGAACUGAGAGGGUGAUCGGCCACACUGGGACUGAGACACGGCCCAGACUCGUACGGGAGGCAGCAGUAGGGAAUCUUCGGCAAUGGACGAAAGUCGGACCGAGCAACGCCGCGGGAGUGAAGAAGGUUUUCGGAUCGUAAAACUCUGUUGGUAGAGAAGAGGGAGCGAACCAGAAAGCCACGGCUAACUACGUGCCAGCAGCCGCGGUAAGAC